rnacentral:tRNA from 1 species
GCGCCCGUAGCUCAGCUGGAUAGAGCACCGGACUUCUAAUCCGACGGCCGCAGGUUCGAGUCCUGCCGGGCGCGCCA